UAACCCACGUUAUAAUCAACAAGUAAAAUUUUAAUGUUGCCCCAUCUGAUUCUAGUGCACCCACUUCAAAAUAAAAUAAAACAGUUUCAAAGUGAUUUUCAUCCUCUUUGAUUCUAAAUAAACCCAAGUUAUAAACCACCAGGCAACAUUUGAUUUCAUUGUCUUUGGUCAAAAUUAAACAUGAAAAACCAAUUAAUUUCUGAAGUUGAUUUUCUCUUUCAAAAGCAUAUUUAAGGAUAACAGGACAGUGUGAAUCUUCACUCUCCGCUUCGGUCACUCGCCAGUGGACCAGCAAUAGUUCUUAGUGGAGAGCCUUUCAGAAACAUCCAAACUCGCUGUUGCUCUGGACGUUGUCCUCUCUGGUGUCAAAAGUUGAAGUACUUGGUACUUGGUAGAGUGAAGUUUUGCUGCUCACUCUGUUGCUGUGUCAGAUUUAAAGUCAUGAUCUAGAUGGACGUUACAGACAGGUCAUCCUUCACAGUGGUUGAUGUGGAUUCAGGUUGUUCCUUCUUGCCCCUCUCCUCCACUUGGUCUCGGCGUUGCUGCAGUGAAAUCCUCCCAUGUCUCUCUCCUCCGGCUUCCUGUCAGUCCAACUGGUCCUGGCGUUGGAUCUUUGGAGGGGCCUUUAUAAAGGUCUUUAGGAUUCUCUAAAGGUUUGGUUCCCUCAAUUU